rnacentral:rRNA from 1 species
UGUAUGGUUAAGUGACUUAGCGUAACGGUGGAUGCCUUGGCAGUCAGAGGCGAUGAAGGACGUAUUAACUUGCGAUAAGCCCAGAUUAGGUAGUAAAAACCAUUUGAGUCUGGGAUUUCCGAAUGGGGAAACCCACUUACAUAAGUAAGUAUCGCUGCGUGAAUACAUAGCGCAGCGAGGCGAACCGGGGGAACUGAAACAUCUAAGUACCCCGAGGAAAAGAAAUCAACCGAGAUUCCGAA